rnacentral:rRNA from 1 species
CGUAAUACCGGAGUAGGAGCUCCUGCUGCAUGGUGGGGGUUGGAAAGUUUCGGCGGUUGGGGAUGGACUCGCGGCUUAUCAGCUUGUUGGUGGGGUAGUGGCUUACCAAGGCUUUGACGGGUAGCCGGCCUGAGAGGGUGACCGGCCACAUUGGGACUGAGAUACGGCCCAGACUCCUACGGGAGGCAGCAGUGGGGAAUAUUGCACAAUGGGCGGAAGCCUGAUGCAGCAACGCCGCGUGCGGGAUGACGGCCUUCGGGUUGUAAACCGCUUUCGCCUGUGACGAAGCGUGAGUGACGGUAAUGGGUAAGGAAGCACCGGCUAACUACGUG